UUUCAUAUGUUGAAAAUAGGUACUUUGAAUUUGAUUCAAAGUUUAAAAGGGAAUCCGGUGUAAAUCCGGAGCGGUCCCGCCACUGUAUUAGAGGAGUUAUCAUGAAAGUGUCACUGGCUAAGCUGGGAAGACCAUGAUGACGUUGAUUCUAGAGCCAGGAGACCUGCCUAUUUUAACAACACUGC
rnacentral:ncRNA from 2 species